rnacentral:lncRNA from 1 species
GGCUACACAGAGAAACCCUGACUCAAAAACACCAAAACCAAAACCAAAAAAAAAAAAAAAAAUUUAAAAUAAAUAAAUAAAUAAAUAAAUAAAGAAAAGAAAAAAACAAAAAAAAAAAAAUAGAGGUGUAUGCCAUGCUAUUUGUACAUCUAAUAGAUAACUAUUAUGUAGAAUUGAUAAUGAAAUUGUAAAAAAACAAACACACACACGAAAUUAAAUAAAUGAUGAAAUAAAACAGGAUAUUCUCAAAGGUAUAGAUGAUCUUGCACUGUUAUAAAAGACCAUACUAGGGCUUUACCUAUAAAGAAAAUACUUAUUAGAUAAUGUUGAGAUUUUGUCUUAUCCCAAUCAGAAUAGCUGCCAAUAAGAAAAUUAAUAUCACACCAGUAAAGUGCCUCCUGAUGACAUAUUGCUAUACCAAUGAAUCAACCCCUCUCUUGACCCUUCAACCCUUAUCAUAGAAAUUUCUUCCCACAGCAGAUGACAUUUAACCCAGAGAGCCACCACUUGACAACCUUUAGAGUGCUCAGCCUUAAAUGAGAAUUCAUUAUCACACUCUUCCCCACAAGGUUCAAGGAUUUAUGUGGCAGAGAAGGUGGAAAGUUUGUAAGAGCCAAAGGUGAGAAAUGACACCAAAAAACCAGCACCUUCCAGAUACUACAGGAUUAUAACACUUAAGAAAUCAUAGAAACUGACACAAAAUACACGGGAUUUGAACCUGCUCAAGCUAGGCACUAUUCCAUGAAUGGGAACAGAAUGUAUUGCAAGACCCUACCUAACAAGGAAGGACAUGACAACAUAUAAUAGCAUUAUACUGCAAGGGAAUCUCAUAAAAUAAAUAAAAUAGAACUAUGAGGAAUAAGAGAGUGAAGACAAAGCCUGGGGAGAUAGCAUAAAAAAUUCAGUUAUACUCCACUGGUCAGAAUGUAAGUAUCCAUAGAAAUCUUCAACCCAGUUAUCCUGCUGUAGAAGAUUUAAAGGACCCUAGGGCAGCAUGAAAUAAGCUUGCUUAAAGGACUAUAUUUAUUCUAGCACUGUUCACUCUUCUAGAAUCAGCCUUGGUGUCUAUCAGCAAAAUCGUGUGUAGAGAAACUGUAGUACAUAUUCACAAUGCAGGUUUAUUUAGCCAUAAAAAUUAGACCAAGUUAUCCCUCUAGCAGGCACACGUAUAGUUCACAUCAUUGAAUUAAAUAAAUCAGGCUCAGAAAGAAAAGGAAGAGAUGUAGAGAGAAGGGGGAAGAGGUGGGGUAAGCUACACAUGUUUAGAGUCCAAGACUCAUGUGUUGUAAGAUGUGAUUAUGAAACCUAAAAUAAACACCCAUGUUUAUUUUUUCAGUUAUCUACUUGAAUACAUUUAGAGAAGAAGGCACAGAGUUUGGGUUUUAAAUGUAAGUACCAAGUCAAGUAAAAUAAGCAUAAUGCACACACACACACACACACACACACACACACACAAAAUAUGUAUUUAAAGGUAUAGGAGAAUGUCAAUGCAGUCAAAGAGUCAGAAA